rnacentral:misc_RNA from 1 species
GAUGAAGAACGUAGCGAAAUGCGAUAAGUAAUGUGAAUUGCAGAAUCCAGUGAAUCAUCGAAUCUUUGAACGCACAUUGCGCCCGCCAGCAUUCUGGCGGGCAUGCCUGUUCGAGCGUCAUUUCAACCCUCGACCUCCCUUUGGGGAAGUCGGCGUUGGGGACCGGCAGCACACCGCCGGCCCUGAAAUGGAGUGGCGGCCCGUCCGCGGCGACCUCUGCGUAGUAAUCCAACUCGCACCGCAACCCCGACGCGGCCACGCCGUAAAACACCCAACUUCUGAACGUUGACCUCGAAUCAGGUAGGACUACCCGCUGAACUUAAGCAUAUCAAUAAGCGGAGGA